rnacentral:rRNA from 1 species
CCUACGGGGGGCAGCAGUGGGGAAUAUUGCACAAUGGGGGAAACCCUGAUGCAGCGACGCCGCGUGUAGGAAGAAGGUCUUCGGAUCGUAAACUUCUAUCAGCAGGGAAGAAGAAAGUGACGGUACCGGAAUAAGAAGCCCCGGCUAACUACGUGCCAGCAGCCGCGGUAAUACGUAGGGGGCAAGCGUGAUCCGGAAUCACUGGGGGUAAAGGGUGCGUAGGCGGUAGGGCAAGUCAGAUGUGAAAGCCCGGAGCUCAACUCCGGGAUUGCAUUUGAAACUGUCUUACUAGAGUGCAGGAGAGAAAAGCGGAAUUCCUAGUGUAGCGGUCAAGUGCGAUGAUAUUAGGAAGAACACCAGUGGCGAAGCCGGCUCUCUCGACUGUAACUGACGCUGAGGAAUGAAAGCGCGGGGAGCGAACAGGAUUAGAUAGCCUUGUAUUC